UACCUGGUUAUCCUGCCAGUAGUCAUAUGCUUUCUCAAAGAUUAAGCCAUGCAUGUCUCAGUACUUGCUUAACAAGGGAACCGCGAAUGGCUCAUUUAAAAUCAGUUAUGGUUCACUAGAUCGUACAGUUUACGCAUGGAUACUGUGGUAAUUCUAGAGCAAUCAGCAACCAGUCCGUUCCCUCGUGAGGCGACGCAGUUUAUUUGCCCAAGACCAUUCCGGCCCUCGGUCGGUCAUUGGUGACUCUGAAAUAACGCGAAGCGGAGCGCAUGACUCGGUUAUUCGGGCCAAGAUCCUUUCAGUGUUGACUUAUCGCUUGUUGUUAGGUUAUGUUUCCUUAACAAGGCUUUUACGGGUACGGAGUGCUCAGGGCCCGACACCUGAGAGGGAGCACAGGGGGGGGUGAGAAAGGCUAACCAAUCAAGGAAGGCAGCAGGCGCGCAAUAUUACCCACUCCGGCAGCGGGAGGUAGUGGACGAAAGAAUAAAGAUGCGAGAGCUUUAGCUUCUCGUAAUCGGAAUGGGUUAACAACUUUAAAUCCUUUAACGGAGAUCUAUUGGAGGGCAAUCUGGUGGCAGCAGCCGCUGGUAAAUUCCAGCUCCAAUAGCGUAAUAUUAAGUUGCUCGCGGUUAAAAAGCUCGUAGUUGGAUCUGGGUAGUCGAUGGACGUUUUUCUCCACCGUAAGAAGAUACUGCCCGUACGCACCACAGCCCGGCCAUGUCUGCAUGCUCCUUCACUGAGUGUGCUUGGUCGACCGGAACGUUUACUUUGACACAAAAUUAGAGUGCUCAAGCAGGUAAGCUGUAUAAUGGUGCAGGAUUAAUGGAAUAAGAUUUUUGCCGUUGUUCUGUUGGUCUAGAGUCAGAAGCUAAUGAAUAAAUAGGAACAGACGGGGGCAUCAUCGUAUUGCGGCGUAUAGAGGUGAAUUCUUGAUCGUCGCAAACGCACUCCACUGCCGAAACAAUUUGCAAGAAUGUUUUCAUUAAUCAAGAACGAAAGUUAAGUUCGAAGGCGAUCAGAUACCGCCCAGCUUCUAACCAAAACGAGCCAACCAGCGGAUCCGUGUGUUUUAUUUGAUUGAGUCGACGGCAGCUUUCCGGGAAACCAGUGCUUAGGUUCCGGGGGAAGUAUGGUUGCAAAGCUAAUUAAAGGAAUUACGGAAAGGGCACACAGGAGUGGAGCUGCGGCUUAGAUUUGAUCAACACGGGGACAACUCUACCGCGGCCCGGACACUGUACAGAUUGGACAGAUUGAGAGCUCUUUCUUGAGUUUCGGUGGUGGGUGGUGCAUGGCCGUUCUUAGUUGGUGGCAGACGAUUUGUCUGGUUAAUCCGAUACGAACGAGACUAGCCUGCUAUGCCAACUGGAAUCCGCACGUCGCGUUGCUUAAUAAUGCUUCUUAGAGGGACAGGCGCUUUUCCAGUCGCACGAAGAUUGAGCAAUAACAGGUCUGUGAUGCACCUUAGAUGUCCGGGGCCGCGAACGCGCGCUACACUGAAGGGAUCAACGUGGCUUUCCUUACUUGGCGAAGGCCUGGGAUCCGAUGAAACCUUCGUGAUUGGGAUGAGCUUUGUAACUAUCGCUCAUAGAACGAGGCAAUCCCAGUAAAGCCGCCGAGUCAUAACGCGUUGAUUACGUCCCCUGCCUUUGGUACACACCGUCCCUCGCUACUAACCGAUGAAAUGUGUUAGUGAGGUCAUCGGAGUGGCCUCGAAGCUUUCGCAAGAUGGCCUCGAAUGGUUGCAAAGACGUCCAAACUGAUUCCCAUUUAGAGGAAGUAAAAGUCGUAACAAGGUUUUUCCGUGGUGACCUGCGGAAGGAUAUUAC
rnacentral:rRNA from 1 species